rnacentral:rRNA from 1 species
CCUACGGGAGGCAGCAGUGGGGAAUAUUGGACAAUGGGCGCAAGCCUGAUCCAGCCAUGCCGCGUGAGUGAUGAAGGCCUUAGGGUUGUAAAGCUCUUUUGCCAGGGAAGAUAAUGACUGUACCUGGAGAAUAAGCCCCGGCUAACUUCGUGCCAGCAGCCGCGGUAAUACGAAGGGGGCUAGCGUUGUUCGGAAUCACUGGGCGUAAAGCGCACGUAGGCGGACUUUUAAGUCAGGGGUGAAAGCCUGAGGCUCAACCUCAGAACUGCCCUUGAUACUGGGAGUCUUGAGUAUGGUAGAGGUUGGUGGAACAGCAAGUGUAGAGGUGAAAUUCGUAGAUAUUUGCUAGAACACCAGUGGCGAAGGCGGCCAACUGGACCAUAACUGACGCUGAGGUGCGAAAGCGUGGGGAGCAAACAGGAUUAGAUACCCUGGUAGUCCACGCCGUAAACGAUGGAUGCUAGCCGUUAGCCAGCUUGCUGGGUAGUGGCGCAGGUAACCCUUUAAGCAUCCCGCCUGGGGAGUACGGUCGCAAGAUUAAAACUCAAAGGAUAGUACGGCGUGAGAGNGCGACGACGACGACGACGGAGGAGG